rnacentral:rRNA from 1 species
GCUUGUCUCAAAGAUUAAGCCAUGCAUGUCUAAGUAUAAGCACUUAUACCGUGAAACUGCGAAUGGCUCAUUAUAUCAGUUAUAGUUUAUUUGAUAGUCCCUACUACUUGGAUAACCGUAGUAAUUCUAGAGCUAAUACAUGCAUUACGUCCUGACUUUUCGGAAAGGAUGCACUUAUUAGAUACAACCAACCCUUCGGGUCUUUGGUGAAUCAUAAUAAUUGAGCGAACCGCAUGCUUCGGCGGCGGUGGUUCAUUCAAGUUUCUGCCCUAUCAGCUUUCGAUGGUAGGGUAUUGGCCUACCAUGGCGUUAACGGGUAACGGAGAAUUAGGGUUCGAUUCCGGAGAGGGAGCCUGAGAGAUGGCUACCACAUCCAAGGAAGGCAGCAGG